rnacentral:misc_RNA from 1 species
GAUGAAGAACGCAGCGAAAUGUGAUAAGUAAUGUGAAUUGCAGAAUUCAGUGAAUCAUCGAAUCUUUGAACGCACAUUGCGCCCGCCAGUAUUCUGGCGGGCAUGCCUGUUCGAGCGUCAUUACAACCCUCAGGCCCCCGGGCCUGGCGUUGGGGAUCGGCGGAAGCCCCCUGCGGGCACAACGCCGUCCCCCAAAUACAGUGGCGGUCCCGCCGCAGCUUCCAUUGCGUAGUAGCUAACACCUCGCAACUGGAGAGCGGCGCGGCCACGCCGUAAAACACCCAACUUCUGAAUGUUGACCUCGAAUCAGGUAGGAAUACCCGCUGAACUUAAGCAUAUCAAUAAGCGGAGGA